CCUACGGGAGGCAGCAGUAGGGAAUCUUCGGCAAUGGACGGAAGUCUGACCGAGCAACGCCGCGUGAGUGAAGAAGGUUUUCGGAUCGUAAAGCUACUGUUGUAAGAGAAGAACGAGUGUGAGAGUGGAAA
rnacentral:rRNA from 1 species